GUGAAUCAUCGAAUCUUUGAACGCAAAUUGCACUCUCUUCGGAGAGUAUGCCUGUUUGAGGGUCAGCCUAAAAAAAAAUCGACAUAGUUGCUGUUACGCGGUAACAUUCGUCGGAAAUUGGGUUAUCUUAAACCUUUGGGUUUAAGCGGCUUAUAAUUUUCUUUUCGAUUUCAAGAACGUUCCUAAGAUUUUAUUUUCUUAUACGUUUAAGGUAUCGAUCUUUAUUAGAAGUGGACGUAGAAUCGGAUAUUGUCCA
rnacentral:misc_RNA from 1 species